rnacentral:rRNA from 1 species
UACAGAGGGUGCUAGCGUUGUUCGGAAUCAUUGGGCGUAAAGAGCGUGUAGGCGGCCUUUUAAGUCCUGCGUGAAAUCCUGCGGCUCAACCGCAGACGGUCGUGGGAAACUGGAAGGCUAGAGUGCGGGAGAGGAGAGUGGAAUUCCCGGUGUAGCGGUGAAAUGCGCAGAUAUCGGGAAGAACACCCGUGGCGAAGGCGGCUCUCUGGAACGCAACUGACGCUGAGACGCGAAAGCGUGGGGAGCAAACAGG